GGAGAGUGAAUGAUCUCCGCGGCGGGCAUAACGAGGCUGUUCGCUGUGCUGCGAGCACAAGGUUUGAACUUAUCGAGCCAUCGGAGACGAGCGUUGGGCUCCUUACAUCACCCUGAACUUAAACCGGGGCAUUUCUGGCAAUGUAAUGCCUCCGUGAUUGCGCGGAGCUGCAUAUGAUUCGGGGCUCGCAGGAACCGCCUUUCGAAGCAUCCUGGAUGGAGCGUAUGUUUCGCGCCGCCCUCUUCUCGCUCAUGCGCCCAGGAAGCGCGAGCGGUUCGGCGCGGCGAAUCGCACAGAUGUGAGUGUGUUUUCUAUUCGCAGAGGAGAUGCGACUUUAAUUCGCGGCCGAGAUUAGAUUUUUCUCAGC
rnacentral:lncRNA from 1 species